rnacentral:rRNA from 1 species
UACGUAGGGUCCGAGCGUUGUCCGGAAUUACUGGGCGUAAAGCGCGCGUAGGUGGUUUGUUAAGUUGGAUGUGAAAUCCCCGGGCUCAACCUGGGAACUGCAUUCAAAACUGACAAGCUAGAGUAUGGUAGAGGGUGGUGGAAUUUCCUGUGUAGCGGUGAAAUGCGUAGAUAUAGGAAGGAACACCAGUGGCGAAGGCGACCACCUGGACUGAUACUGACACUGAGGUGCGAAAGCGUGGGGAGCAAACAGG